UAAAAUACAAGAAAUAUUUUUUAUUCUGAACUGGAAUAAAGUGAUUGAUCACAUCUGUAGACCAGAAAACAGACACAGUCCUAAUGAGAGCAGGUCUAUUCUGGGCUCUGUUUUUGACAGUGCAACACUGAGGUCGUGCUCAGCCUUGAAACAGUUUCUGUACAUGUUUGUUAAGUAUGUCAGAGUUGAGAACCCUGACUCACAUAGGUAUGUGGUGCCAAACUGGACCAGAACAUCUACUGCUUUCUCAGUCAGGCAGGAGACCGCUUCCUGCUGUAGAUGAGCAACCCAGAACUGUGUGUUUGCCCUAAAAAACAUAUUGCUUCAAUCAGUUUAUUCCAGAUAAGAAUAACAUUUACAUUUACAUUUAAGUCAUUUAGCAGACGCUCUUAUCCAGAGCGACUUACAAAUUGGUGCAUUCACCUUAUGACAUCCAGAUAUAACAACAAUUAUUAUUGUAUUUUAACAGCAACAGUUCCAAUCUAGACUCGUUUUCAACAAUUUCUACAGUAAGAUGUACAGUAGGCCUGGUCAUUUUUCAUCUGUACUGUUACUAGAGUUACACUAUCAGUAGCUAGCUUGCUUUGGCGAAUGUUAGCUAUUAUCUGUGUACAAGGCCAGGGGAUUGUUUGAAAGAGAAACUCACAUCCACUACUAUGAGAGUUAGUUAGUACUCCCUUACUGCUUAUCGCCUGUGAUGGGGAGAGCAGUGCAGUGUCUAAUAAUGAGCCUGAUGUGGAGUACACUGAAGUGGUACAUUGUCAACCUGUGGACCCUGCCAGAGGUGACUACACACACACACACACACACACACACCAGUUUUUCACUCCGGCUACCUCUCCCUCAUAUUCCCUUUAUCUUGCUCCCCUUUUUUCCCUCCCUCUCAUAGCUCUUUCUCUACCUCUUCCCUCUCUCAUUCUGUCCCUGAACUCAUAGCGAAUCAUCACAAAAGAGUUUGCUUUGCCGUCAUUAUUUCAGCUUAUAAGACUCAGCGCCAUUUCCUGGGGGGGGUUCUAAUUGGCCACAAUUAAGCCGUCUCCACAGUAACCUGUGUGAUAACCAUGGCGAUCAGGCUUCCAGAAACAUCUUCUGGCGAAUAAACAGGAAGGGCUGAACUAAUUGCCAGGCUACUCUCUAAGGUACCAACCCCCCUCGAUUAGUAUACUCUGUUGGCCCCCAUGGGUUUGCUAUGGCAGUUGGUUGAGCUUAUCGUUAAGCAGGGGCGCAACUUUGGUUUUAGAAGUGGGGGGGGACAUAAUAUUUAUUUUAUUAUUAUCCAGUUGGAUAAACACUAAACAGCCUAUGCGACCGCUCGGAGACGUCCACAUGGUCCUAAAGCACACCUUUGCCUCCUUUUGUUUCAGAAUGUGGGGGGUGGGGGGUGGGGGGCAUGCCCCCCCUCCCCAUCCCCAUUGAAGGUUACUCCCCUGUCCUUAAGUAUCCAGUACAAUGAUUUGCCAAGAGAUGGAGCAUCUGCUAAGAGACUAACAAUUCCCCUGAGAAAAGGCACCGAAUCGGUGUGCAGUGAAGUCCAGAACUCCCCAUCCGGUGCACCUAGUGACCAUUAUGACUAUGGUUCAGUGGAGUACGCCUAUCUCAACGGUGACCAAACCGGAGGUCAACCAGGACAUGCUGGAGGUCAAUCACCAGGACCACCAUGACCUGGAGUAAAGGUUACCUCUGAUCCCUCGCGACCCCUCACACUAGGACCACAAACUAAAUUCUCCCCACCUCUGCCCCCGACCUUAACCACAGUCCUUAUUUUCAUAUUGUUCUUGUAUUCUGUACCUUUUCCCUACAAGGAAAAUUGUUGACUCAUGUAAGCUGUAGAUAUUUUGCAUAAUUUUAUAGCCAAGUAAAAUCACAAAUCCUAAUUAGGACUAAUUAGUUCUAUCAUACCUUGUAGACUCUUAUCUUUGUUGACCUUUUCAUCAUGUCUCAUAACCAUAGAGGUUGGUACAGUGUUGAGUUAGCCUGGCCCCUCCCUCGAACGCAGUUCUCUUUGAUCUCCUAAAUGGACAGCAUGACAGUUAUGCUCUGUCAUGAUGGCUAAAAAAAUCCCCCUUUCAGACUUCUGUUGCAGGGCAGUGUGAGUGGGCUGAUAACCUCCCUACUGUCACUAGACUGGGUCCACACCCAAACCAGGGCACACUCCUGUAGGGCCAUCCCUGAAUCACACUAUGGCAAUAACUAUGGGGGGAAAAGAGUGAAUGUAAACAGAGGAUCUGCCUGUCACCAGCUGCUCAGCCUGAUGGUAUAUGGUGUUUGUGAUAUCACAUCCUGACAAGCUGUGUCCAAGUGUGUCGAAAGUUGGAGGGAGAACAGUGUCAGGCCUGAAAUGACUCAGACAUACAGAAUUGUACAUGGUUAUAAAUUACCUUCUUACUGCAGUUACUGUUUUUCUAACACACAAAAUUAUCCAAGUAAAGUCAAGGUAAUGUUAUAAAAAAAUAUUUAAAAAUCGAUCUUUCUAAACUUUGAGUAUCGUAUGUUACGUUAUUACGGUGUGUUAUGUAAUACGUUAUAUUAAUAGAGAAUGGUUACAAUCGUCCUGUAAAUUACAACACCAUUGUAAGGGCUUCCGAAUGGCGCAGCAGUCUAAGGCACUGCAUGUCAGUGCUAGAGGCAUCACUACAGACCCUGGUUCGAUUCCAGGCUGUAUCACAACCGGCUGUGAUUGGGAGUCCAAUAGGGCGGCUCACAAUUGGCCCAGCGUCAUCCGGGUUAGGGUUUGGCUGGGGUAGGACGUCAUUAGAAAUAAGAAUUUGUUCUCAACUGACUUGCCUAGUUAAAUAAAGGUUAAAUAAAAAAGUAACCAAUAUCUAAUAUAGUGGUCUAUGAUUGUUGUAAUAUUCAGCAUGGCCAGUAGAGGGCAGCAUCCUCUUAAAAAUACAGUGACGCGUAUACAAGAAAGUUACUGCUGCCUUAUCCUCCACACACACAUUCGCUGUGGGGAGUUAUUGUUGUGUGGGUUCCGCCAUCUUGUGACUAAAACUAGUAUGUGUCAGAUAGUUUUGAAUCAUAAGAGCGAUAAGAGCACAUAUCUCUAAUUCUCAGUUAGUAGUGCUGAUCUAGGGUGUCCAUGUUAUUUAUUAUGAUUUAAAAAAGCUAUAACUGAUCCUAGAUCAGACAUCACUCCUACUCUGAGACGCGUUUCAAAUACAUAACCCUGAUUCUGUUUUUGUUUAUUUUGGAGAGGAGAAUCCUAUUUGGUUGUUUUUGUGAAACUAUAAUAAAUGUAGGCCUAUGCCAUCUUAAACUUAGAGCACUUGUAGAGUAACUAACUGUCUUCUUAGAAACAGAUAAACAAAAUUUUCACACCUUAAAAACGCGUUCAUACAACUGUGACGUCUUCGUAGCCCUCCCUCCACUGAGUGUUGCAUCCUCGAGUAUGGUGCAUAAUGUCUAUCCUGCGUUGUUUACGAACAUGUCAGCUAACACCGAGACAUACCCUCGUAAUCAUCUCUCGUUGUCUCGACAACAGAACAUGCCGUCAAUUAUCUAUCUAAAUGGUCAUUUCCUCUCUUUGAUAACCUCGAGGCCAUUGUGGAACUGUAAUGGCAGCAUUGGCAUGACAACCACAAAUAAACUCUCUUCGAUCUAAGGGCCAUUUACAUCAUGUCCCCAGUUCUCUCUCUCUCACACUCUCUCUCACAUAUAUCGUGGUCAGAAGCCUGUUAAAGACUAAUUAAAGGAAAUUACCGGAAUGGCCGUAACAUCGCUUAUAUAUAUAUCGUGGUCAGAAGCCUGUUAAAGACUAAUUAAAGGAAAUUACCGGAAUGGCCGUAACAUCGCUUGAGUGCUUCGAUUGUUGGCCUGUGUUAAUGGAAUCAUGAAGCUGUGCUUUUGGAUGAAUACAUUCGGUUAAUUUGUGCGCACCAUUUUUCACAUCUAGAAUGGGAAGUGGAAUAAUAUGUUUUGCUGGAUCAGACAAGAUGAGAGUAGCCUAUAAUAUGAUAGUAAUAUAACUUAUGUAGCCAAAUAGCAUUGUUUUAUAGCUCAAACACAUAGCAUCAUUGGCCUAAUGAAAUGUCGGGGACCAGGGUAACAGUUAGUGCUCAUACAUCCUUCUAUUUGAAAUAUAAUUCGCAUAUUGACUUACAGAUAAAAUUAAAACAAUAGAUUAACAUCCUGCCAACCUUCACGCCCAAUACUAUUGUUCCUGCCCUGCAGGCACUGUGAGUGUUGCUAAUACGGGCAUGUGGUGAUUGGGUGUGGAGAGAAACCUGUGUAUUUGUUUUGUCUAUCUGUCAUUACAGAGUAGCCGACUUAGUACUUAGUGUGUUUAUAUUAAUGGAAGUAGAUUGGACUGACUGUGAAAACAGCGCGGAAAAUAAUUAACUCGCAUGACAGUAGUUGAGAUGGUGUGGACAAACCAAGUGUGAGCGGAGCAACUGUCUAAUCAGUUCGUCAGCCAAUCGUGUGACAGAUUAGAUGACUGUGAGAAGAGCUGGCACCCUUUAAUGCGAUGUUAGUCAUGACACCUACUAGUAUUUGUACAUAAGCAGAAAAGUUGUGAAUUUGUGUUAUCUGUCUGUGUUUGGAAGGAAAACACAUCUAUGUAAACAACAUUAUGGUGCCAAACAUUUAAGAAUUCUAUUAUCUGAAAGGAAGCACGGGAAUGCAAUUAAACGGCCUAUCGUGCACUGUAACUAAGGUGUGAAUUACACCUCUUAGAUCCAUGCACGUUAUUUCUUUGAAAGGGUGAUGAAAAGUAUUGUCAUCUGGGUUCAAAAUAAAAUUCUGGGCAAUAGCAAAGAAUACAAGAACUUAACAUAGGCUGAAACCUGUCUGAAAGAAGUGCCUUGUCUGCUCUUGCCCAUAGGGCAGAGAAAGAAUACCAGUUUGUCACUGGUAUGCUGGCAGUUAGACCAGAUAAGGACGUGCAAACAAUCUAUUGGCCUUUAUGCAGCUCAGCUGUUAAAAUGGACUUUGUGUAAGCUUUAUUUGCCCUAAGCCAUCUUUAUUAAAUAUAUGCUGAAAAUGCACAGUUUAUGACUGACUCGGUUGUAGAGUAUUUUUACAUUUACAUUUAAGUCAUUUAGCAGACGCUCUUAUCCAGAGCGACUUACAAAUUGGUGCAUUCACCUUAUGAUAUCCAGUGGAACAACCACUUUACAAUAGUGCAUCUAAAUCUUUUAAAGGGG